GCGGAAGUGGUGAAACUGGCAGACACGCUAUCUUGAGGGGGUAGUGGAGUAAUCCGUGGGGGUUCGAGUCCCCCCUUCCGCA
rnacentral:tRNA from 1 species